UUUAAAAAUAAUUUAUUUAUUUAUUGUUUUAGUAUUAAGUAAAAAUUAAUUUUAAGAUUUAUAGUUAAUUAGUAUUGUAAAAGAAUUUAUUUAAAUUAUAAAAAGAAUUUUUAAUAGUACCUUUUGUAUCAGGGUUGAUUAAAAAUUUUUAAUUAUUUUAAAUUUCUCAAAAUUUAUGGAGUUAAUUUUAUUAUAAAUUUAUUGUGGUAUAAAUAUUUAUUAAAUAAUAUUAGUUUUGAAAUUUAAUUCGUUAUAAAAUAUUUAGUUAUUUAAGAUUUAAAUUUAAUUUAAAAAUUUAAAAGUUUAAUUAUUUUAGAUAAAUAAUAUAAUUUUAAAUUUAAAUUAUUUUAGGGAUAAGCUUGAAAUUUAUAUAUAAUUUUUUUUUUUUUAAUAAUAUAUAGAAAUAGAAAUUUUUAUUUUAAGUUUGUAAAAAUUUAUUAUUUUUAAAUAUUUUAUUUAUUAUAAAUUAAAAUUUAUUUUUAAUAUUAAAUUAUAUUAAUUAAUAAAUAAUUAAUAGUAAUAAUGAUUAAAUUAGUAUAAUAUGUAAUUAUAAAUUAUGAAUUCGGCAAAUAAUAUUUUCAUCUGUUUAACAAAAACAUUGUAUUAAGUUUUAUUUAAUAUAGGAUCUGCUCAAUGAUUUUAUUAAAUAGCUGCAGUAUUUUGACUGUGCAAAG
rnacentral:rRNA from 1 species